rnacentral:rRNA from 1 species
CAAUAGCGUAUAUUAAUGUUGUUGCAGUUAAAAAGCCCGUAGUUGGAUUUCUGGUGGAAGCGACCGGUCCGCCCCUCACGGGGUGUGCACUAGCGUCUGUCUUUUGCCAUCCUUGCGAAGAAGCGGUGUGGCAUUAAGUUGUCGCGCCGUCUGACUCGCAUCGUUUACUGUGAAAAAAUUAGAGUGUUUAAAGCAGGCAAUUGCUGUGAAUACAUUAGCAUGGAAUAAUAAGAUAGGACUUUGGUACUAUUUUGUUGGUUUGCAUAUCAAAGUAAUGAUUAACAGGGACAGUUGGGGGUAUUCGUAUUUCGUUGUCAGAGGUGAAAUUCUUGGAUUUAUGAAAGACGAACUACUGCGAAAGCAUUUACCAAGGAUGUUUUCAUUAA